AGGAUUAACGCUGGCGGCGUGCCUAACACAUGCAAGUCGAACGAGGUAGCAAUACCUAGUGGCAGACGGGUGAGUAACGCGUGGUCAACCUACCGUUGAGUGGGGGAUAACUAGCCGAAAGGUUAGCUAAUACCGCAUACGAGUCUCGGGGGCAUCCCUGAGCCUUAAAAGGAGCAAUCCGCUCGAUGACGGGACCGCGUCCCAUUAGCUAGAUGGUGGGGUAACGGCCUACCAUGGCACCGAUGGGUAGCUGGUUUGAGAGAGCGACCAGCCACACUGGGACUGAGAAACGGCCCAGACUCCUACGGGAGGCAGCAGUGAGGAAUUUUCCGCAAUGGGCGAAAGCCUGACGGAGCGACGCCGCGUGUGGGAAGAAGGCCUUCGGGUCGUAAACCACUGUCGAAGGGGACGAUAAUGACGGUACCCUUGGAGGAAGCCCCGGCUAACUACGUGCCAGCAGCCGC
rnacentral:rRNA from 1 species